GUGCUCGUUUUUGGCAGCACAUAUAGUGAAAACUGGAACAAUGGAGAGAAGAUUAGCAUGACCCCUGCUCAAGGAUGAUGUGCAAAUUUGUGAUAUGUUCCAUAUUUUU
ensembl:snRNA U6 U6 spliceosomal RNA